GAUGAAGAACGUAGUGAAAUGCGAUACGUAAUGUGAAUUGCAGAAUUCAGUGAAUCAUCGAGUCUUUGAACGCACAUUGCGCCCCCUGGUAUUCCGGGGGGCAUGCCUGUCCGAGCGUCAUUGCUGCCCUCAAGCACGGCUUGUGUGUUGGGCCUCCGUCCUCCUCCCGGGGGACGGGCCCGAAAGGCAGCGGCGGCACCGCGUCCGGUCCUCGAGUGUAUGGGGCUUCGUCACCCGCUCUUGUAGGCCCGGCCGGCGCUUGCCGACACAUCAAUCUUUUUUCCAGGUUGACCUCGGAUCAGGUAGGGAUACCCGCUGAACUUAAGCAUAUCAAUAAGCGGAGGA
rnacentral:misc_RNA from 1 species